rnacentral:rRNA from 1 species
CGCUCCCCGUUUUUCAUAUAUUGGGAGUCGUUCCUGCUCUAUGAUGUGCGCAUUCAAUAGCAGCGGUAUAGAUGACCGUUCAAAGGUAGUGUAAUUAAUGCCUAUUAAUUGUUGGCCAAUGAAAGGAUUGAUGGGCUGAAUUUGUCUCGCUUGUGUUUAGGUGAAUCUAACUUCUAAGUGAAGAGGCUUAGAUGCUGUAAAGGGACGAGAAGACCCUGUCAAACUUUAAUUAAGUUGAAGGGUCUGUAAUUUAGUACCCCUUUGGCAUAAUUUUAGUUGGGGCAACUGGGAAGUAUAAAAACUUUUAUGGGUCAGAUGUUUAGAUUUCUGAAUUUUGACUCAACUUGUGUUCGUGAAUAGAAUAAGUUACUGCAGGGGUAACAGCAUACUCCCCCUGGCGAGUUACUUAUUAAUAGGGGGGUUUGUGACCUCGAUGUUGAAUUGGAACUGUCUCCUAGGUCGGUAGCAGCUUAGGCAGUGGGUCUGUUCGCCCUUUAAAGUUCCCCA